UGCGGAAGGAUCAUUACAGUAUUCUUUUUGCCAGCGCUUAAUUGCGCGGCGAAAAAACCUUACACACAGUGUUUUUUGUUAUUACAAGAACUUUUGCUUUGGUCUGGACUAGAAAUAGUUUGGGCCAGAGGUUUACUGAACUAAACUUCAAUAUUUAUAUUGAAUUGUUAUUUAUUUAAUUGUCAAUUUGUUGAUUAAAUUCAAAAAAUCUUCAAAACUUUCAACAACGGAUCUCUUGGUUCUCGCAUCGAUGAAGAACGCAGCGAAAUGCGAUAAGUAAUAUGAAUUGCAGAUUUUCGUGAAUCAUCGAAUCUUUGAACGCACAUUGCGCCCUCUGGUAUUCCAGAGGGCAUGCCUGUUUGAGCGUCAUUUCUCUCUCAAACCUUCGGGUUUGGUAUUGAGUGAUACUCUUAGUUGAACUAGGCGUUUGCUUGAAAUGUAUUGGCAUGAGUGGUACUGGAUAGUGCUAUAUGACUUUCAAUGUAUUAGGUUUAUCCAACUCGUUGAAUAGUUUAAUGGUAUAUUUCUCGGUAUUCUAGGCUCGGCCUUACAAUAUAACAAACAAGUUUGACCUCAAAUCAGGUAGGAUUACCCGCUGAACUUAAGCAUA
rnacentral:rRNA from 1 species